rnacentral:pre_miRNA from 1 species
CAUGCACCAGUGGGGGUCCCUCGGCCUGGCCUGCGGGAUCGGGCCGAAAACAGCUCUCCGACAUACCCCAACGGGUCCUGGAUUGCGAGUGGGUGCAGGCCAGGCUGAGGGACUCCACCGGUGCACA